AGGCAGGGAUGAGAUCAACGCCCCGUCGACUAGAAGACCCCGACGACAACCCUGAUGGUUCUCCGCCGUUCGGCGACGAUAUAUACUAUGAACCGGUCAACUUUGAAUCCUCUUUCUAGCACUGACGUGCCUUGGGUCAUGGAUCAUCCAUACAGUGAGAGAGUAGAGAGAAUCGAAGCCCGAAAGCUUCGGGUCUUCUGGCGGAUUUUCGACAUUUUUCGGCAACUACGGCUGAAUUUGAUGGUGCUUGAGAUUAUUGUUCACGACAGCCAUUUCAGAACUUCUGGACUUGUUUCCGAUGUUGAUUCUCGUCCCAGAAUCAAAAACUGAUACUCGGGUCCUUACUGCACUUGGAACUGAAGGAGAAUUGAGAUGGGCUCUGCUCGAUUUUCACAGUGCACAGUGGCUACAAGUUUAUGCUUGCUCACGAUCUCUGUUAGCUCAGAUUGAGCUACUCUGAUUGUUGAAGGUAUAUUCAGAACCUCAAAUCGAAAAUUUGUUCUUUUGGGUAAUUCUAACAAAUUGGGUGUACUACCUAUUCUAGUUAAUGAUGAAUUUCAACUACAGUUGUGUUUGAAA